CAGAAGUUAAUAAAAUGGGUGACGUGUCAAGGAGAAAAGUCCCGAUCAAAUCGUAGUGCAAUUCUCCAGAGGAAGCAGGUUCUAGUUUGUUUUUUUUUUUUUUUCCACCUGAAAUCUUGGAAGUCUGAUGACGUACUUCUACCGAAGCUGAAAUUUGACCUCCAGAGUUUUGCUCGAUUAAACUAAAAACUGAGAGCGCUCCAAGUGGGACCACUCUGUUGUUUGACUUGCGAGUGUCGGAUCUGCAGUUAAACCGAGUCUUCAUCCGGCUGCCCUGCCCCGUUUUAUUCCGCAGCCCCGCCAGCCCGCCCUGCGGAGCCCAGCCGCGUGGCGGGUUUCGGGGGAGGCUGGCGAAGACGUCCGCAGCGGCUCCAGUUAGAGCUAGAAUCUCGCCUUUCACGAACUUGAAAAGGCCUCUUGAGGAAGGCUUCUGCCCCAAGUCAGACCUGCCGUCGGUGCCUGGAGACCUGUCGCUCCCUUCCCGUCUCCUGCAGCGUCCCCUCGGCUCCUCGGAGACGGCGACGGAGACCCGCUCCGGCGAGGCCGGCACUGCUCCCGUGCCCCGUGGCCCUGCCAAAACAGAGCAGGCACUUGGAAGAUGAAGGAGGGGAAGAGAGAGAAUUUCCCCUGAAAUCGCCGUGCUCUCCCUGUGCUCACCCCCUCCCCUGCCAGUGUCGAGGAGCUGCCGGGUUCGGGUCUGCUUUCUCUGCUGCUUCCUGCAGCUUUGGGUUCUUUGGUGCGGCAAAGACUGAAAGCAGUGAAAGGAGGCUGUGCCCUUCCCUCGGAAGGGUUUUCCUGCUUACCUUGGCCAGGUGAGUCUGCCCCCGGUUUUACCCACCGUUUAUAGUUGUAUGGCUUUAACGAAGUUUUGUUCCAGCUGUAUCGUUCUCAUCUUCACCAAAAUUCGUUGCGCGUAAACUCCUCGGGCCGAGGACGUUUCUCCUGUGUCUGUUUUCUGCGCGGGGGGGG